UUGAGUGGCGGACGGGUGAGUAACGCUUGGGAAUCUGCCUUUUAGUGGGGGACAACCCGGGGAAACUCGGGCUAAUACCGCAUACGCUCUACGGAGGAAAGCCGGGGACCGCAAGGCCUGGCGCUAAUAGAUGAGCCCAAGUCGGAUUAGCUAGUUGGUAGGGUAACGGCCUACCAAGGCGACAAUCCGUAGCUGGUCUGAGAGGACGACCAGCCACACCGGAACUGAGACACGGUCCGG
rnacentral:rRNA from 1 species